GAGUGGAUGACAGAGCUUCAUCUCAUUCCUGAAUUAUGUCUUGUUCAUCUAGAUGCUUUAUGACUACUUUUUUUUUCAGUUCUGCCUUGUUAGUCCAAAGUCCGAUCGGGUUGUAAAGCAAUAGCUAUUCCCAGCUCCUGAAACGCACGCAUCCUUACAACUAUCCUGAUUAUUCACAGCAGACCACUUCCCUUCAUGUAAUUGUCGCAGAAGCUGAGUCAUUUGUUCUAUAGAACGUCCACGUUCUGCAUUCAACCAUUGGUUUCCUUGUUCAGUCAUUGGAGUUGGUCUUCUACCUACUGUAUUUCCUGUAUAUGGAGCCUCCCACAAGGCAGAGUUUCCAGGAGUAGCACAAGACCUCUGAGAAGGAGCAGUUGAAUUGGGACAAGUAAAAUGCAAGUGGAAGAAACUGGGGCAGCUGUGAAAUCAGGAGAGUACAAAAUGAGUUCAAAUGAGUUGUUUCAUUUGAAAUAUACGUCAUUCAAAGGAAAUCUCUUUGCUAUCAUUCAUACUAUGUGGUGAACCCAAUUAACUUAGAUGAGUCAAAAUAGCACCUUUGGUGUAUGAAGCACAAUUGGAGAAAUCAUUAGAGCACAGAGAUUUAUACUGGGAUCAAAACCAGAGCAAAUGGAUUCUUGGAACAGCAGCAGAUAAAACCUCUGAAGAUUCAGACUCAAUUCCCAGGAUCCCACUUGCACUUCCUUAAACUCCCGUCCAGGAACAUGGAGAACCGUACUCUUUGAUCUUGACAGUUGGAAAUGUGCUCAGAGAUACUUAAGCCUUACUAGUCUACUGACAUGCAUGUCAAAGAUUAGUGGACCUGUUACAAGGAAGAGUGUCUGCUUGUCUUCCACCUCUACUAAACUGUAAGCUACUUGAGGACAGGGGCUGUGCUUGCCCAUCAUCAUAUCUCUGGCAUCCAAUAGACAGGGCCUCAAACAACAACUGUUGAAUGAAUGAGUGGACGGCUCAUAGCUGAAGACUGGAGGACCAGAAGCGACAUUGUUCGGAAAAGCCUCAUGUGACAAUGAGAGUGAAAUGCUUUCUCUGGCUAGAAAACAUUCUUGCUUAUUUUUCUUUUAAAGAUGGACUUUUGCUGGCUGAAGACUUAGAUCCAAAGAGAAUAUUAAUCUGAAAGUAACAAAGUCAAAUUCUACGAUUUCAACAUGACUUCAAAAAUGUGAGAGAUUUUCAACAGCAUCAAGAGUUGAAGUUGUAAAUGUCUUGUUCAGAAAGCAGAAUUGGAGCCUGUUUCCAUGGGAUGGAAAGCAGCAGCCAAAGGCUUACUCAGUGUGGAUCAUUUUAAAUAUAGAGCGAUCUGUACAUCAAUUGUGUAGUGAUGUAGUCUUUUUCCUCCUCUCCCUCAACUCUUCCACUUAACAUUUUGCUUUACUAUUGUUUGGCCUCCUGUGUCAAAUAAAGCACCUUUUAUAUUUAGUACAAUAGGCCCAGUGUCAAGUUUGUCUAGUCCAAAGUGCUGAACAAACAUUAACCCAUCCGACUCCCCUUGACCCCAUAUUGCACACCCUUGUUUAAACACUACAGUUGUCCUAGAUAACCGCUCUAGGCAGUAGCUAGGAAAAUUAUAGAAAGCACAUGAGAGUUUAAAUAUCUGUUAGGGUGUGUUGCAUACUGAUGUUUCCCCUGAUGUUAAAGGUCUUAAAUCCUGAUUGUUUACAGUUCAAAAGUCUUCCGGAGGGAUGAUUAAGGGCAAAACAUAAGAAGUAGGAAAUGGCUGAAUGCCUUUUAGGAGGUGAGGGCUUUUGAUGAUGGACUAUGUAAAAUAUUUCAAAAUAGUGAUAUCCAAAGAUUUUAUUACUAAAGUAGAAUUAAGCAACAAAUUCUUGAGACUCUCCAUAAAUCAGAAAUUACCACCCCCCCCCCAACAAAAUAAAAAUAUCUGGCUGAGUUUUGGGGAGUGAAGAUAUUAAUUUAUCUAAAUGGCAUGUUGACUGUAGCUUGUUUUUGGGAGACUGUUUUUUUUUCCCUUUUCCUUCUGAGAUGUCUUAGCUCUUCCCUUGUUUCUGCCUCUGGAAUUUGUAAUACACUGUAAAAGGUCCAUUCCAAUUCUAUCACAAGGAAUGGAAUUUGAGGAGUUCCCAGUUAUUUCAGCUCUCUAAACUUUAAAAAAAUUUUUUCAUGAAAGGAAUAUGUAUUCUAUGAUUAGGAGAAUUUUUUGAAGAUUCAAAAAUUGUAAUUACAAUGAAACUUUAACAGUCCUCCACAAUUCUUGUCUGUAAUUUAAGUGCCACUUUUAGCAAGCCACUUCAGUUCUGUGGCUGUUUCCUUGUCUGUAAAAUGGAAUGUAUUUGAUGAGCUUCAGUGCUAUGCUUCUUUAUGUUGACAAUUUAUUCAGUAUGUCAGUUACUUUAAUACUGGCUUUAGAAAAAUUAUACCUGAAGGAAAUUGAAGUAGUUGUAGAGAUCCAAAGACCUUUAAUUUUUGUGUAUUAUCACUACUGUAAUUUAUAAUGUGUUAGCAAAGAUUAUGGCAAUACAUCAGACUAUUUUUGCUGUUUCUUUGCUGUGUAUAUGUGUGAGUGUUUCUAUGUAUCUUCUAUCCAGUGGGAAGCAGACGUUUUCAAUAUACCUAACGGCUUCAAAUGUAUCCUAAGAGUAUUUGCUGCUUAAAUAACAGUUUAAUGGGAAAUACUUUUCAAAAAUUGACUCAGAGUUGUGAUAUUUUAAAAAUAAAUCAAUAUUAUAAUUUUAGUUCUCUUUCCACCCAGUAGGUAGAAU